rnacentral:rRNA from 1 species
UGGGGAAUUUUGCACAAUGGGGGAAACCCUGAUGCAGCGACGCCGCGUGAUUUAGAAGGCCUUCGGGUUGUAAAAAUCUUUUCUAUGGGAAGAAAAUGACAGUACCAUAGGAAUAAGGACCGGCUAAUUACGUGCCAGCAGCCGCGGUAAUACGUAAGGUCCGAGCGUUGUCCGGCAUCAUUGGGCGUAAAGGGUACGUAGGCGGGUAAGCAAGUUAGAAGUGAAAUCCUAUAGCUCAACUAUAGUAAGCUUUUAAAACUGCUCAUCUUGAGGGAUGGAAGGGAAAGUGGAAUUCCUAGUGUAGCGGUGAAAUGCGCAGAUAUUAGGAGGAAUACCGGUGGCGAAGGCGACUUUCUGGCCAUAACCUGACGCUGAGGUACGAAAGCGUGGGUAGCAAACAGG